rnacentral:rRNA from 1 species
AUUGCCUCAGUAACGGCGAGUGAAGCGGCAACAGCUCAAAUUUGAAAUCUGGCCCCAGGCCCGAGUUGUAAUUUGCAGAGGAUGCUUUUGGUGCGGUGCCUUCCAAGUUCCCUAGAACGGGACGCCAGAGAGGGUGAGAGCCCCGUACAGUUGGACACCAAGCCUUUGUAAAGCUCCUUCGACGAGUCGAGUAGUUUGGGAAUGCUGCUCAAAAUGGGAGGUAUAUUUCUUCUAAAGCUAAAUACCGGCCAGAGACCGAUAGCGCACAAGUAGAGUGAUCGAAAGAUGAAAAGCACUUUGAAAAGAGGGUUAAACAGCACGUGAAAUUGUUAAAAGGGAAGCGCUUGUGACCAGACUUGCGUCCGGUGAAUCACCCAGCUCUCGCGGCUGGGGCACUUCGCCGGCUCAGGCCAGCAUCAGCUCGCUGUCGGGGACAAAAGCUUCAGGAACGUAGCUCUCUUCGGGGAGUGUUAUAGCCUGUUGCACAAUACCCUUCGGCGGGCUGAGGUACGCGCUCCGCAAGGAUGCUGGCAUAAUGGUCAUCAGCGACCCGUCUUGAAACACGGACCAAGGAGUCAACCUUAUGUGCGAGUGUUCGGGUGUCAAACCCCUACGCGUAAUGAAAGUGAACGCAGGUGAGAGCUUCGGCGCAUCAUCGACCGAUCCUGAUGUUCUCGGAUGGAUUUGAGUAAGAGCAUAUAGGGUUGGACCCGAAAGAAGGUGAACUAUGCGUGUAUAGGGUGAAGCCAGAGGAAACUCUGGUGGAGGCUCGCAGCGGUUCUGACGUGCAAAUCGAUCGUCAAAUAUGCGCAUGGGGGCGAAAGACUAAUCGAACCUUCUAGUAGCUGGUUUCCGCCGAAGUUUCCCUCAGGAUAGCAGUGUUGAACUCAGUUUUAUGAGGUAAAGCGAAUGAUUAGGGACUCGGGGGCGCUAUAUUGCCUUCAUCCAUUCUCAAACUUUAAAUAUGUAAGAAGCCCUUGUUGCUUAAUUGAACGUGGGCAUUCGAAUGUAUCAACACUAGUGGGCCAUUUUUGGUAAGCAGAACUGGCGAUGCGGGAUGAACCGAACGCGAGGUUAAGGUGCCAGAGUAGACGCUCAUCAGACACCACAAAAGGUGUUAGUACAUCUUGACAGCAGGACGGUGGCCAUGGAAGUCGGAAUCCGCUAAGGACUGUGUAACAACUCACCUGCCGAAUGUACUAGCCCUGAAAAAUGGAUGGCGCUCAAGCGUCUCACCCAUACCUCGCCCUCAGUGUAGAAACGAUGCGCUGAGGAGUAGGCGGACGUGGAGGUCGUGACGAAGCCUAGGGCG